rnacentral:rRNA from 1 species
GGCCCGGCCGGCGCUUGCCGAACGCAAAUCAAUCUUUUCCAGGUUGACCUCGGAUCAGGUAGGGAUACCCGCUGAACUUAAGCAUAUCAAUAAGCGGAGGAAAUCUAGAUGCAUCGCGAGUACCAGCGUUACCUUAUUGAGGCC